UACGUAGGCAGCGAGCGUUGUUCGGAGUUACUGGGCGUAAAGCGUGCGCAGGCGGUUCGUUAAGUCAGCUGUGAAAGCCCCGGGCUCAACCUGGGAAUUGCGGUUGAAACUGGCGAACUAGAAUCUGGCAGAGGGGGGUGGAAUUCCACGUGUAGCAGUGAAAUGCGUAGAGAUGCGGCGGAACACCGAUGGCGAAGGCAGCCCCCUGGGCUGAGAUUGACGCUCAGGCACGAAAGCGUGGGGAGCAAACAGG
rnacentral:rRNA from 1 species